GAGCUUAACUCCGGUAGAGCAGUGGAAACUGGUGUGCUAGAGGGCGACAGGUGUAGAGGGAAUUCCCAGUGUAGCGGUGAAAUGCGUAGAGAUUGGGAAGAACACCGGUGGCGAAAGCGCUCUACUGGGUCGCACCUGACCCUCAGGGACGAAAGCUAAGGUAGCGAAAGGGAUUAGAUACCCCUGUAGUCUUAGCCGUAAACGAUGGAUACUAGGCGUGGUUUGUAUCGACCCAAGCCGUGCCGAAGCUAACGCGUUAAGUAUCCCGCCUGGGGAGUACGCACGCAAGUGUGAAACUCAAAGGAAUUGACGGGGGCCCGCACAAGCGGUGGAGGAUGUGGUUUAAUUCGAUGCAACGCGAAGAACCUUACCAGGGCUUGACAUCCCGCGAAUCCCCAUGAAAGUGGGGAGUGCCUUCGGGAGCGCGGAGACAGGUGGUGCAUGGCUGUCGUCAGCUCGUGUCGUGAGAUGUUGGGUUAAGUCCCGCAACGAGCGCAACCCUCGUCCUUAGUUGCCAGCAUUAAGUUGGGCACUCUAGGGAGACUGCCGGUGACAAACCGGAGGAAGGUGAGGACGACGUCAAGUCAGCAUGCCCCUUAUGCUCUGGGCAACACACGUCCUACAAUGGUCGGGACAAAGGGGAGCGAGCUCGCGAGAGUCAGCGAAUCCCAGCAAACUCGGCCUCAGUUCAGAUGGCAGGCUG
rnacentral:rRNA from 1 species